rnacentral:rRNA from 1 species
UACGAAGGGGGCUAGCGUUGCUCGGAAUCACUGGGCGUAAAGGGUGCGUAGGCGGGUCUUUAAGUCAGGGGUGAAAUCCCGAGGCUCAACCUCGGAACUGCCUUUGAUACUGGGGAUCUCGAGUUCGGGAGAGGUGAGUGGAACUGCGAGUGUAGAGGUGAAAUUCGUAGAUAUUCGCAAGAACACCAGUGGCGAAGGCGGCUCACUGGCCCGAUACUGACGCUGAGGUGCGAAAGCGUGGGGAGCAAACGGG